rnacentral:tRNA from 1 species
CAAUGUAGCUCAGCUGGUAGAGCAGUGCAUUCGUAAUGCUCAGGUCAAGGGUUCGAGUCCCUUCAUUGG